rnacentral:pre_miRNA from 1 species
AGGGGAGGCCGGAUCCUGGGCUGUGUCCCGGCGCCCUGUGCUCCGGAGCCUGCGCUGUUGGAUUCGCGCUCCCGGGCCGCGCAGCCCCCU